GAUGAACGCUAGCGGCAGGCCUAAUACAUGCAAGUCGAACGGGCGGUAGCAAUACCGCUAGUGGCGCACGGGUGCGUAACGCGUAACCAACCUGCCCAGAUCUGGGGGAUAGCCCGCCGAAAGGCGGAUUAAUACCGCAUAAACCCACAGUGUGGCAUCACAUAAUGGGUAAAGAUUUAUCGGAUCUGGAUGGGGUUGCGUAGCAUUAGCUAGUUGGCGGGGUAAUGGCCCACCAAGGCGACGAUGCUUAGGGGACCUGAGAGGGUGAUCCCCCACACUGGCACUGAGAUACGGGCCAGACUCCUACGGGAGGCAGCAGUAGGGCCUCAUGGGCCCUGGGCGCGAGCCUGACCCAGCCAUGCCGCGUGCCGGAUGAAGGCCUUCUGGGGUGUAAACGGCUUUUCUCAGGGAAGAAAACGGGGAUGCGUCCUCAACUGACGGUACCUGAGGAAUAAGCACCGGCUAACUCCGUG
rnacentral:rRNA from 1 species